rfam:Thalassolituus oleivorans MIL-1 complete genome
GGGGCCUUAGCUCAGCUGGGAGAGCGCAACACUGGCAGUGUUGAGGUCAGCGGUUCGAUCCCGCUAGGCUCCA